AGUGAACGCUGGCGGUAGGCCUAACACAUGCAAGUCGAGCGGCAGCACAGUAAGAGCUUGCUCUUACGGGUGGCGAGUGGCGGACGGGUGAGGAAUACAUCGGAAUCUACUUUUUCGUGGGGGAUAACAUAGGGAAACUUACGCUAAUACCGCAUACGACCUACGGGUGAAAGCAGGGGAUCUUCGGACCUUGCGCGAUUGAAUGAGCCGAUGUCGGAGUAGCUAGUUGGCGGGGUAAAGGCCCACCAAGGCGACGAUCCGUAGCUGGUCUGAGAGGAUGAACCGCCACACUGGAACUGAGAAACGGUCCAGACUCUUACGGGAGGAAGCAGUGGGGAAUAUUGGACAAUGGGCGCAAGCCUAAUCCAGCCAUACCGCGUGGGUGAAGAAGGCCUUCGGGUUGUAAAGCCCUUUUGUUGGGAAAGAAAAGCAGCAGGUUAAUACCCCGCUGUCCUGACGGUACCCAAAGAAUAAGCCCCGGCUAACUUCGUG
rnacentral:rRNA from 1 species